GUGGUUUGGGAGAGAAUCUGGACCCCUCCUUCCUGUAUUCCUCUGUUUAAAUUAAAAUGUUGAAAAUUCAGUUUUAAAACCAAGCUAAUCUUGAUCUUCUAUAUAAGCGUUUCCUCUUGAGCUUUUUGGUAGCAUGAAAACUGACCUUGAUGUCCUUGGAUAAAAUCUAUGUUCCUUGCAGUAUUGAACAUGAUGAUCCUUGCCCUGCAGGCUUCUCCUCUUCACACUAGCAGUGUCUGCGUGCCAUCAGCAUUGAAAUAAUGGCAAGUCAUCUGGAAGCCCUCUGGAAUCACUUUAUCUUAAAAGGUCGUAUUUAAGAGUAAAAAAAAUUAAACUGAAUAAUCCAUUUGUAACUUCAUCUGGAAAGGGUUGGAAUCCGAUAGAGAACAGACUUGUAAAGAUAUUUGUGCACUUCUCAUUUUCAGCAGUGAUUAGUGUGCCAUGUUUGUAUCACUUUUACAGCCAACUGAUGCCUAAAAUCAAACUUAAGCCAUAGCAACAGCAGAGCAAACAUCAAGGUAGGGCUGAUCUCUGAGCACGCCGAUGGCUGGGAGAGGAGCCGGCGCUUCCCUUGAAGUUCCAACAUCAAAGAUGACGAAUAACUCCCUUCUCAGUGUUCCAGCUUCUCACAUCAUCUGAGUAUCCUUUGGCAGCAACAGUUGGCCCAAGCCUUGGAGCAGCAGCUGGUAUAUUUUCCAGGAGUGAAUAUGAAGAAAAAGUAAAUGCAGCCACGCAUUUCCUUUUAAGAAGCACAGUAGGCACUGUGCCCAAAACCCUUCCUGGGCUAGGUUGUGGGAUACAGCAAAUAUCUUGCAUCUCUUGUACUUAGAGAGGAUUUCUAAAACUGAAGGUGAAAAUCCUGAAUCAGUAGGAGCCUGGAUGGCAGGUCAGUGUCUCCCAGGGGUCAGGAUCCUCCCACAGUGUCUGGCUUUGCAGCGUCCCUCAUAGCUCCCAUCUGCCCCACACACAGGGACCAUGGCUUGCCCCCCCUCCACUGUGGAUUUUUAUGUUUUUCCAGAUGUUUCCACUGGAGUCUUUUGCAAAACAUUUUAUUGUCAACCAGAAAUAAAAAAUUAAUAACAACCAGAA